rnacentral:lncRNA from 1 species
AUGACCUGCAGCAAGAACAUAUUUUGGCUUUUGUAUCCAAACAUAUGUUGUGUUGAUGCAGAAGAGAUGAAGGAAAUCACACCGGGAUACUAUGAUGAUGUCAUCACUGAUGGACUAAAACCAGAUCAUGAGACAGUGGACACACCAGAGCAUUAUGAUGAUGUCAUCAUUAUUGGACAGAAUUUUCAAGGUGUAAGGGAGUUAGAUCAGGAGGAGUAUGAUGAUGUGAAGAACAGCAAUGGAAAUGAAAGAGACCUGUUGGACUAUGAUAAUGUGGAGGAGGGGUCAAAUAAAGAGGGAGGAGCCAUAUGAGUGACCACACCCACUGCCUCUGUUCUUAUGCUAUUUUAAAUAUUUUUGUAUCAAAGGUUACAUGCUUUGCAAAAUUCAUUAUCAACAAAGUUUAAUAUUUGUAUUUUAGUAUUUGGCCUCUUAUUUCUAUUUUGAUAUCAAUGCUUUUCACCUAAUAAAACAAAAUAUAUCAUUCAUUCAUCAUGUCAGAAAAAUACUUUUUAUAAGAGCGGUCAGAGAAAAGAAGAAAUUAUGCUAUAAAUGUUUAAGGAAACACUUUUAGGCACUUCAGCGGCUGAUGACAUUAUCGACCUAAAUAAAAUGAUAAAAAUAGAUUUACCACUUAAUAGAUAUUACAAAGCUUUGUGUUGUUCCACAAGCUUACUGCCAUAGCAUUAGUUCUGUACUGUCUGCCUGAAUUAACGUUAUUGGAGCAUAAUUUAAUAUUUUAUUUACAAGAAAUAUUACUGGGAAAGACAAAGGUAUGCAAAGGUAUUCACAUCUUAGAGGUCAGAAAACACUCACCCAAACUGCACAGUUUAUUGUGUGAUGGUCCAUUUUAACUUUACAGUCUGAUUGUAUGGAUGACACUCAAUAUUUGUUCUGAGCUUGAAUCUUUUGCAGCAAUAGCUCCAUAUGCAGAUUGAGGUUGGGCUUUGUACCCUUUUGGUUUUUUUUUUUUUUCUUUUACCGUAUUGGUAGGUUGGUCUUCGUACCGUUUUGUUUUUUUUUUUUUUUUUUUCCAACAACUGAUAUGUUGCUAUUUUUCUUUUCCUUAUAUUUUCUUAAGAGCCUCCUCUCGCUGAGCUUUGUCUUUCAAAAAUUCCUACACAGACACGCAUAAUAAAACAUGCAUCAAUCAUUUGCCAAAGAAUGUAAAGGAUGAUUAAAAUGUGUUGGUUUACAUGACAUAACGAGUCUUCCUUAAUGACAUCACAAAGGAGAUUCAUUAGGUAAUAGAAAACUGUACAGUUUCUAUUUCCUCACCUCUCUUUUUCGUGCAUGUUCCUCCAUACUUUCAAAUUCUAGUUUUGUCUUCUGAUACGAUGACAUUCUCUGCUUCCUUUGGAUGAAUGGAGUUUAGUGGGAGCUGAUGACAAAUCAAAAAUCAGAAAUGUGGCUUUUGUGUGUGUGUGUGUGUGUGUGUGUGUGUGUGUGUGUGUGUGUGUGUGUGUAUAUAUUAUUUUUUUUUCCUUACUAGCUGUUACUGUACCUGUCAGUCUAUGCUGGUUCAUUAUCUGAAUCAGAGACGGUAGUUUGGUCAGUCGUUGUGUUUGAGAUGUGUUUCUCAGUAAAAGGUAAAUCCAACACUGUUUUUAGUUCAUCAUCUGCUUCUGUCUCUUCAUCUAAUGUUCUCCCUUUACAUCUUUUCUUCUUCUUCUUCAUCUAGUCGUUCUUCUUCAGCCAGGUACAGAUGUCUCAGAUGCUCGGGAUAUUCCUCCUCUAACUGGAUUGGUGAUGCUUGCAUUUUCUUCCUCUUUUCAGAGAAGUUUGUUAUAUUCAUGUUUUAUCUUCUCCUUCCUUUUGAAGGCAAAUCCCUGACCUGAGAAAGAAUGAGAGGGAGAUGAGAUUCAAACAGAAUACAUUCCAUAUUUAGUCCUUUUUAUGCACACUAUGAACUAUUUUUUGUACAUACUGGUCGAUAACGUAAAUCAUUAUUGCAAUUUAUACAAAAGAAGCCUUGGAUUUAAACUUUUUUUUUUUUUUAUGUAAAAUAGUUAUAAACGUUUUCAAAAAUGUACUUAACCAACAUUAAUACAAUAUUUCAUAU